rnacentral:lncRNA from 1 species
UUAUUGGAACUUUUAAAGUAUAUUAAAAACAGAAAGAAAAAACCAAAAUACAGCAUAUACAAGAUCUAGUUAAUGUCACAGAAAUCUAGCCUAUCAUUGUUAUAUUUGAUAUUUAUAUCAAACAGUACCUAAUUAUGUAUUAAUAGUAAUUUUUCAUAAUCAAAGAUACAGUUAAAAAAGAAUAUUUGAUAUAUCCAUACUUGCUUUAUUUGACUUUUCACUUAAUAUAUUAUUAUCCUCAAUAGGAAAAAUUAUUUCACGUUAAUAAUUCUAAUCACUUGGUUUAUAUAAGUCUACCUAAUACUCCAAACAACUUAAUGAAAAAACAUUAAAUACCCAGCAAAAGCCUAUUUUAAAAGUGCUACUACUUAGCCCAAUGAAAUUAACUAAUUCAAAAUGGUUAAGUUAUAGAAUGAGGCAUUACUAAUCACAAAAAAAUAUGCUAUAGACAAAAACAAAUUAAGUUAUCUUGAGCCACUAUCAAAAUGGAAACAAUACUGCCUCAUUUUUAAAUUUUAUCAGAUUAUUCUGUAUUUUUAAAAUACUCAUCUAAUUAUUUAAAGCUGCUCUGA